rnacentral:sRNA from 1 species
AUCCAUGAGCGCCGCUGGCAGCCGGGGAGCCGCAGAAACCAGACUGGGGGCGAGCUGAGCACCUGUAGUCAAUCACACGCAGGUUCUAUCCUCUUCAUUUGCAAGCCACUGCUUUAUCCACGAGGGUGCUCCCUACUUAUGCCAGUGAAUUAAUUUUUGGCACAGAUCAGUCCUUCAUAUUUAUCUGGAUUUAGCUGGUAGCAUUUGUCUCCUAAGACUUGGUCACAAAGGAAUCCAUGUGACCUUCAGGCCUUCUGCUCUAAACUGGCAGGAGAUCCUGUUUCUACUCACAGCGUCCAAGGGUCUGGUGGCCGAGCCCUGAGGGGCGCUGUUGCUCCCAGGUGGCAGAAUUCAGCAUCAGAGAGCCACACAGCUGAAAGAGAUGGAUGGGUUGGGCAACAAGAACAAAACUCCGUCUCAAAAACAAACAAACCCAAAGUAUUUGAGCACCGUGAAGACUCCAUUCCACAGAACCCUCUGUGGGAGGACGUGCGGGCCUAGACCAACACUGAUUCGCUGAAAGGUUAGUUUGAAUAAGAGAUCUGACCUGACCGGCCCAACUGUACAACUCUUCAAGGAAAAU